CAGGAGCACUUAUGGGAGCUUGGUUCUCCAUGUCAAAUUGGGUGGUUAUGCCCUGAGCAGAUCUCCACUGCUAGAAUCUUAGGCAACCACACUGACGUGUUGUACUAUGUUGAAUGGGGUAUCAAGGAAUCAGUGCAUGCGGGAGACAUGUUUAUAUUUGCCACAUAUUAUGAGGAUUAUCAUUGGACCCUACUGGUGAUUUGUGUUUCCAGUAACACAAUCUUCUUCUUUGAUUCUGCUCGGUUACCUCAACCAAGAAAGCGCCUCGUGAAGUCCAUACUACAAAAUGUUAUGAAGAAGAUAAAUUCUCGAGCUCCUCGAGGUC